rnacentral:rRNA from 1 species
GCAAGUCGAACGGCAGCACGGGAGCGAAUCCUGGUGGCGAGUGGCGAACGGGUGAGUAAUAUAUCGGAACGUGCCCAGUCGUGGGGGGAUAACGUAGCGAAAGCUACGCUAAUACCGCAUACGAUCUACGGAUGAAAGCGGGGGAUCGCAAGACCUCGCGCGAUUGGAGCGGCCGAUAUCAGAUUAGGUAGUUGGUGAGGUAAAGGCUCACCAAGCCGACGAUCUGUAGCUGGUCUGAGAGGACGACCAGCCACACUGGGACUGAGACACGGCCCAGACUCCUACGGGAGGCAGCAGUGGGGAAUUUUGGACAAUGGGCGCAAGCCUGAUCCAGCAAUGCCGCGUGCAGGAUGAAGGCCUUCGGGUUGUAAACUGCUUUUGUACGGAACGAAACGGUGAGCUCUAAUACAGUUUGCUAAUGACGGUACCGUAAGAAUAAGCACCGGCUAACUACGUG